GGCUUGUGAAGAUCUGUGUUGAGCUCUUCCAGGUUUCCAUCGGUUUUCUCAUUGAAGAGUCCCUUGGCAUCAAAGGGUUUUGAAGAAGUAGUUGAAGAGGAUUUCGGCAUCGAUGAAGAUUUCUUCACAGAAAUUGAUUUCUUAGGUGGUUUAUCUGAAGUUUUGCUAACUGAAGGUUGAAGGGAGACAUUGGCAUCUGAACGGGGGGUAGCCGAAGGCGAUGAGAUUUCCAUUUCUGACAGUUUGGAUGAUGAUAAAGUAGAGUCCCAAAUGUGAUAUUUAAGUCUCUACUGCCUUGCUUUUAAAACUGCUUUGGUAAAGCUUUUACAAUGUUUGCAGGACUGAGUUAGGUGAGCCUCUCCUAAACAAAAAAGACAAUGAUCAUGUCUGUCAUGGAAAAGAAGUUUUCUAGAGCAAACCAUGCAGCAGCUGAAUGGACCUGAGGGGGACAUAAGGUAGCGAAAGUCAAUUUUGCCUUACUUGGAACUUUGGCGCAGCGGAGUGAAAAGGUGGGAAGAAUAGGAAAAAAUCCGAAGUGACCAAGUUAGUAGAGCGAAGCAGCAUGAGUGGUCAAAACACAGUCCAUGUUGGGGAAAUAGAUAUUAGAAUAGUUGAGGAUGAAACCAGAUCGAAAAACCGUAGAAUUCAGUCAGAAAAUUGAAAAAAAUAGCAAGCUCGAUGUGAGAGGUUCCAAAUCGCUCAGCGGAAAAAUGGAACUGAGGCUUUGGCGGGCAGAGCAUGUGCAUUAGAGGCAAAUUAACUUGUUAUUUUUCUAUUCAAAGCUCGAGAAGAUUCCGAGAGGUCCAGCGCAGG